rnacentral:snRNA from 1 species
AAUGAUGAAUUGUUUAGUUUAACCUUAUCUACAUUAUCUGAAAACUCAUUGAAGAU